rnacentral:rRNA from 1 species
AGACAGCAGUCGCCGCGGUAAUACAGAGGGUGCGAGCGUUAAUCGGAUUUACUGGGCGUAAAGCGUGCGUAGGCGGCUUUUUAAGUCGGAUGUGAAAUCCCUGAGCUUAACUUAGGAAUUGCAUUCGAUACUGGGAAGCUAGAGUAUGGGAGAGGAUGGUAGAAUUCCAGGUGUAGCGGUGAAAUGCGUAGAGAUCUGGAGGAAUACCGAUGGCGAAGGCAGCCAUCUGGCCUAAUACUGACGCUGAGGUACGAAAGCAUGGGGAGCAAACAGGAUUAGAUACCCCCGUAGUCCCUGUCUCUUAUAC